AUGGCUGUUUUGUCUUUCAGCUCUCAUAUAAUUUUGUUGGAUUCCUUAGAUUCCUUGGAUUGGACUUCUACUUUCUCUUGAGUCUUGAUGAUCUUUGUUGCUAUAAAGAUCCUGAAUUCUAUGUCUAUUACUUCAGCCAUUUUGGUCUGUUUAAGAACCAUUGCUGGGGAGCUGAUUCAGUCUUGUUAAGAACCACUGCUGGGAGCUAAUUAAUGCGGUCAUUUGGAGCCUAUUCAACAUGAAGAUGAUGAAGAUGAUAAGGAUGAAGAUCUUUAUGAUGAUCCGCUUCUACUUACUAAAUACUAAAUAUAUAUGCUAUUUCUUAUGAUUUUCUUAAUAAUAUUUUCUUUUCUGUAGCUUUCUGUAUGGAAAGAAUGCAGCAUAUAAUAUAAUAUAUAUAACAUAAGAAAUAUGUAAUAAUUGACUGUUUAUAUUAUUUGUAGGGCCAACAGUAGGUUAUUAGUAGUUUUUGGGAGUCAGAAGUUUUACGUUUUCAUUGUGUGGGAAGUUGUCACCCCUAACCACCAUAUUCUUGAGUCAACUGUAUAUAUGUGUGGAUUUAUUUCAGAGUUCUUUUCUGUUCCAUUUAUCUAAAUGUCUAUCUGUAUGCCAUACCAUACUGUUUUAAUUACUGUAGCUUUGUAAUAUGUAUUAAAAUCAGGAAGUGUGAUGUCUUCAGCUUUUUUUUCAAGAUUGUUUUGGCUAUUCAGGAACUUUUGUGGUUCCAUGUAACUUUUAGAACUUUUUUUCUGUAUCUAGGAGAAAUACCAUUGGGAUUUUGAGAAAAAUUACAUUAUGUCUGUAGAUUGCUUUGGGUUGUAUAGAGAUUUUAACAAUAUUAAGUUUUAUAAUUUAUGAAUACAGGAUAGCUUUCCAUU